rnacentral:rRNA from 1 species
GCCCGCCUACGGGAGGCAGCAGUAGGGAAUAUUCGGCAAUGGGCGCAAGUCUGAUCCAGCCACGCCGCGUGAGUGAAGAAGGCCUUCGGAUUGUAAAACUCUUUUGUUAGAGAAGAACAAGGAUGAGAUUAUACCUUCAUCCCUUGACGGUAUCCAACCAGAAAGCCACGGCUAACUUCGUGCCAGCAGCCGCGGUAAUACGUAGGGGGCAAGCGUUGUUCGGAAUUAUUGGGCGUAAAGCGAGCGCAGGCGGUUUCUUAAGUCCGAUGUGAAAGCCCCCGGCUCAACCGGGGAGGGUCAUUGGAAACUGGGAGACUUGAGUGCAGAAGAGGAGAGUGGAAUUCCAUGUGUAGCGGUGAAAUGCGUAGAUAUAUGGAGGAACACCCGUGGCGAAGGCGGCUCUCUGGUCUGUAACUGACGCUGAGGCUCGAAAGCGUGGGGAGCAAACAGGAUUAGAUACCCUGGUAGUCCACGCCGUAAACGAUGAGUGCUAAGUGUUGGAGGGUUUCCGCCCUGCAGUGUUGCAGCU